AGAAUUCAAAACGCCACGUGACUUUUUUCGAUGAUCUUGUUCAUUUAAGUAAAAUCACUUCUAUAAGCAUCAACUAACGUGUCUCUUGCCUCUCAGUCAGCUAUUAUGAGUUUCAAAAUUCAGCCAAAUGGUUUUGAUACAAAAGCCAUUCACGCAGGACAGAGUCCUGAACAAUGGAAAAGCGCUUGCGUAAUACCCCCAAUAUCAUUAAGUACUACUUUUAAACAAGAUGCGCCGGGGGAACACAGGGGAUAUGAGUAUUCGAGGAGUGGUAAUCCCACAAGGAACGUUUUGGAAACCUGUUUGGCUGCGCUUGACAAUGCAAAGUAUGGUCUAACAUUUUCUUCUGGACUUGGAGCGACAACUGCAGUGCUAACAAUGCUGAAGAGUGGAGAUCACAUAAUUGUGGGCGAUGAUGUGUAUGGUGGAACAAAUCGACUUGUGAGGUAACAUUACAUUUACAUAUAGCUGCGGUCAAAAUAAUAGUAGUGCCCAGACAAGUUUUUUAGUUUUCCCUUUAUAACAAGACUUGAAGGCACAUUCACAAAAAUUUUUAAUUUUUAUAGUAGUUUAGCUAAUUACAGAUUAUAAUAACUGAAAACAACUAAGGUAAUU
rnacentral:sRNA from 1 species